AACGAACGCUGGCGGCAUGCCUAACACAUGCAAGUCGAACGAGACCUUCGGGUCUAGUGGCGCACGGGUGCGUAACGCGUGGGAACCUGCCCUUAGGUUCGGAAUAACUCAGAGAAAUUUGAGCUAAUACCGGAUAAUGUCUUCGGACCAAAGAUUUAUCGCCUUUGGAUGGGCCCGCGUAGGAUUAGCUUGUUGGUGGGGUAAUGGCCUACCAAGGCGACGAUCCUUAGCUGGUCUGAGAGGAUGAUCAGCCACACUGGGACUGAGACACGGCCCAGACUCCUACGGGAGGCAGCAGUGGGGAAUAUUGGACAAUGGGCGAAAGCCUGAUCCAGCAAUGCCGCGUGAGUGAUGAAGGCCUUAGAGUUGUAAAGCUCUUUUACCAGGGAUGAUAAUGACAGUACCUGGAGAAUAAGCUCCGGCUAACUCCGU
rnacentral:rRNA from 1 species